GCUGGAUGUGGUGAUUCAUACCUGUAAUCCCAGUAACUCAGGAGGCUGAGAGAGGAGAAUCACGAGUUCAAAGCCAGACUCAGCAAAAGCAAGGCGCUAAGCAACUCAGUGAGACCCUGUCUCUA
rnacentral:sRNA from 1 species